UUGAAUCAGUUAUUAACUAUCACAACAUAAGAUUAACCACCACAGGCUAGGAUUUUGCCUCCUCAGCUAUCUUCAGUGACAUGAGUCUCUAGCAGAAAACUUACGACUGGCCAUUGGAUUUUGCUUCCUAGUGCUUCAAGUUGUGAGGUAGGCUAGGACACUGAGAGACCUUCUGAGGGUACUGACCAUGUUAUAUUCAUCUCUAUCUUUUCCAAGGCAUUUGUCAUCUAAUAAAGGUUUGUUCUUGGCCAUAUUCAUUCAUUUCUCUGUGUUUUGUUCAAAUGCCAUUUCCCUUUCCUGUAUCACCUAUGUACAUCUACCUUUGCUUCAAGGCCUCGUGUGUCUCAUCACCUCUGUGAAACCCUCCAAUUGUCCUUUGUGAGCCACUUGAAAUGUACUCAGCAUGCCUCCACAACCAGGUCUAG
rnacentral:lncRNA from 1 species